rnacentral:lncRNA from 1 species
ACAAUCAUGGCAAUCUUCCGCAAUUCCUCGUCAGCUUGCAUAAUCUUUUUAAUCUGAGCCUGCAAAUAAAUAGGAAAUGAGGUAUUAGUAUGGUUAUAUUCAGAUCAAAGAAAAAUUUAAAUUUUAGAAACAAGAUCUGAUGUGACCUGAAAGCAAUUUGGUCCAGUUAAACACAUUAAAUUGAAAAAGGAGAACAAUUAAUAUUCAAAUAGCACCAACGUAAUAGUUGUCAAAAUAUUUCUCAAAAAAACAAAUUCUGGUACAAUAAAGUUUGAACCUCGAGAAACUAAACAAACAGGAAAUUCACAUAAAAACCUCAAACACUUUACCCUUUUAUGGAACGUUCAUUUCCCACAUAAACGUGGCUUGAACAAGUCACAUACCUCAAGUACUCUACCCUCUCCUAUCCUAUAGACUCAUGAUAUAUUUGAUCUUUACCUAAUACACUCUAGAGUUUUCUUUGAAGUACUAAACAGUUAAGUGCUCAGUGACUAUAUAGUUCAAACGGCAGUAAAAAAUGUUGAAUUACUUGUUAAAAAUACAUAGCUUAUUGCAAAGUAUUUUUUUGGUCUCAAGAGUCUCCUAUAAACUCAUGAUGUAUCAAUCUUUCCAAAGUACACUAGAGACUCUAUAGUGUUUUUCUUUUGAAGCACUAAAAAGAAGUGCUUAGUAGCAGUAAAAUUCGAGCGGCAGUAAGUAGUCAACAAGACCUACCUUAAGUGUCUCAACAAACUACUCUACAAAUUGCAUCAAAUAUUUUAGUAGUCUUCCUUACAAGGUGAUAUCAAAGAAUUGUUCGAGCUUAAUAAGGAAUUAACUUGAUGAGUAUCAUGACAUCAAACUAAAAAACAGUGUUGAAUCUUCAGUUGCUCUAAUUCUAUUUCAUUGUAGAAAAUAUCAAAUUGCAACAUCUUUUUGUUAGUUCUUCCAUAUGUGAAAUGGAGUAUGAAAUACAGAUUAUUCCACAAAAUAAAGAUUAAAAAAAACAAAAAGAAAGAUAGUUACUUAGAUAGUGAGCAUACAACUUUUGAGAGUAAAUAUGAGUAAAUUUUGGUGAGGCAAAGGUCGAGCACCUAGAAGGCAAUUAUUAACCAGAGGGCAAAUUUUGGUGAGGCAAAAGGUCGAGCACCUAGAAGGCAGUUAUUAACCAAAACUUAAAAUACUCUGAAGUGAUCUAUGUUUAAUGAUUUCAUCUAGCUACUUGAGCACACCACAACUUAAAAAAAACAACAAUUUAACAUGCAAGUGGAAAGCGAACUUCGCCUAUCACAGACAUUCAUCCACAAAUCUGACGCUCCUAGAAAGUAAAUCAAAGGGAAAAAAAUCAUUAAACACAUUAUCUUAGAAGAUUUGCAAUUUGGGAUUAAAAACUUACAGGAAACGCAAAAAUAGAAACACCUAACCAAAAUUUUGAAAGACUCAAUAGCUGCAUCCGGAUCUAUCAUCAGCAACAUUUACUUAGAUCGCUUUCCCAUCCAAACUCUGCAAGAUUUCAUAUAUAUAUAUAUAUUUAUAUAUGUACGUGGGAGAGAUAUAUCAUUUGUGUUAUGGGAUUGGUUGCCACCGGUGAGACGGAGAAGGCAUAAAGCAUCCGUGAUAGGGUAGUGGUGAUGAGAAAUGUUUGCUAUUUUAAAAAUAAUUUCUAAAGUUUUAGGAACUUAGAUCUACAGAAUAGAGGGAAUAAGUUUUUUAGCGAAAAGUUAUUUGGAGGGAAAAGAUAAAAUAAUACGUAGCAAAAAUUUCUUUGAAUUAGUGAGUUUCAGUGGCUAUUUCCUUUUAUUGCCAGUAAAAGGGUACUUAAUACCGGCCAAUGCUCAUCUGCCGCUAACAUUUGAGUUUAUGAAAUCAUUUAGUGGCC